GACGAACGCUGGCGGCGUGCCUAAUACAUGCAAGUAGAACGCUGAAGAGAGGAGCUUGCUCUUCUUGGAUGAGUUGCGAACGGGUGAGUAACGCGUAGGUAACCUGCCUGGUAGCGGGGGAUAACUAUUGGAAACGAUAGCUAAUACCGCAUAAAAUGGAUUAUCGCAUGAUAAUCAAUUGAAAGGUGCAAAUGCAUCACUACCAGAUGGACCUGCGUUGUAUUAGCUAGUUGGUGGGGUAACGGCUCACCAAGGCGACGAUACAUAGCCGACCUGAGAGGGUGAUCGGCCACACUGGGACUGAGACACGGCCCAGACUCCUACGGGAGGCAGCAGUAGGGAAUCUUCGGCAAUGGACGGAAGUCUGACCGAGCAACGCCGCGUGAGUGAAGAAGGUUUUCGGAUCGUAAAGCUCUGUUGUAAGAGAAGAACGAGUGUGAGAGUGGAAAGUUCACACUGUGA
rnacentral:rRNA from 1 species